UAACAUCCGGAAACGGGUGCUAAUACCGCAUAGUUUUCUUGAUCGCAUGAUCGGGAAAGGAAAGACGGCCUUUGUGCUGUCGCUUAUGGAUGGACCCGCGGCGUAUUAGUAGUUGGUGAGGUAACGGCUCACCAAGACGAUGAUACGUAGCCGACCUGAGAGGGUGAUCGGCCACAUUGGGACUGAGACACGGCCCAAACUCCUACGGGAGGCAGCAGUAGGGAAUCUUCCGCAAUGGACGAAAGUCUGACGGAGCAACGCCGCGUGAGUGAAAAGAAGGUUUUUCGGAUCGUAAAACUCUGUUGUCAGAGAAGAACAAGUUGGAGAGUAACUGCUCCAGCCUUGACGGUAUCUGACCAGAAAGCCACGGCUAACUACGUGCCAGCCGCCGC
rnacentral:rRNA from 1 species